AGCGACGCUGCUUACUUGGUUUAAGCGCCUGUCUAGUAAACAGGAGAUCACGGGUUCGAAUCUCGUCGGUGCCU
rnacentral:tRNA from 1 species